rnacentral:rRNA from 1 species
UACGGGGGGGGCAAGCGUUGUUCGGAAUCACUGGGCGUAAAGGGUGCGUAGGCGGGUUUUUAAGUCAGAGGUGAAAUCCUGGAGCUCAACUCCAGAACUGCCUUUGAUACUGAGAAUCUUGAGUAUGGGAGAGGUGAGUGGAACUGCGAGUGUAGAGGUGAAAUUCGUAGAUAUUCGCAAGAACACCAGUGGCGAAGGCGGCUCACUGGCCCAUAACUGACGCUGAGGCACGAAAGCGUGGGGAGCAAACAGG